rnacentral:misc_RNA from 1 species
AAGUCGUAACAAGGUUUCCGUAGGUGAACCUGCGGAAGGAUCAUUAUAAAAUUUUCAUAUAUUAUUUAUUUAAUAUAUAAAAUUAUAUACAAAACGUAUUCAAAACCCACACACUUUAUAACCAAAAAAAAAAUAUAUAUUUUAAUAUAUAUAUAUAAAAAAACAACUUUCAACAACGGAUCUCUUGGCUCUC